rnacentral:tmRNA from 1 species
GGGGGUGCAAUGGUUUCGACGGGGGUUGUAACCCUCGGUAAGCGGGUAGCGGUCGCAGGUCACGCUUAAAAAACUGCAAACUUAAAAAUAAACGACAACAAUAAAGUUGCCUUAGCUGCUUGAUGCAGCUCGUCUUACCUAUGACCACCGCGACAUAGGAUAAGGCGUCGACUAGCGGUAAAGGUGAACAGGGGAGUGUCUCGACCCUUGUCAUCAACAAGAGGCUUGCCCGAUAGUAAUCCUGUUGUUGGGAGUACUAAAGGGGACUUCUAAAACAUCAACUACACCCGUAGAAAGCCGUGGCAAGCGACUUUCGGACGUGGGUUCGAUUCCCACCAUCUCCACCA